GGUGGUGGCGGCGGCGCGAUCCGCUGGGCUGUAACCGUCGUCCGUCCGGGAGCGGCUGGAGCAGUAGCGGCAGCCGGGCACAGCGCGAGGCGACGCCACAGGGCAGCGGCGGCAGAGGCGGCAGCAGGAAACGCAGCGGCGGCCGCAGCAGCAGCAGCAAGACGGACUCGUGGACACGCGCCUCCGCCGCCGCCGGGCCGGGCCGGGUGUCGCGCGCCGAGGCUGGGGGGGAGUCGUCGCCGCCGCCGCCACCGCUACCGCCGCCGCCGCCGCCGCCGAGGUGACUGAGGAGAGAGGCACCUUCCUCGCUCCCGCCGCCGCCGGACGUCAAUGCCCAGUCCCCAGCUCGCCAGCGUUUUUCGUUGGAAGAUACGUUGCACAUUUAUGGCGAUUCUGAGCGUGAGGGCAGACUUCUGCCAGGCUCAGCACAGCAUUUUCGCUGACAAGUGAGCUUGGAGGUUCUAUGUGCCAUAAUUAACAUUGCCUUGAAGACUCUGGACACCAAGACUGGCCUCGGAAAUAGUUGGCUUUUUUUUUUUUUUAUUGCAAGCAUAUUUCUUUUAAUGACUCCAGUAAAAUUAAGCAUCAAGUAAACAAAAGUGGAAGGCGAUCUACACUUUUAACUUGUCUCACUAGUGCCUAAAUGUAGUAAAGGCUGCUUAAGUUUUGUAUGUAGUUGGAUUUUUUGGAGUCCGAAGGUAUCCAUCUGCAGGCAUUGAGGCCCAAGUUGAAUUUGGAUUUGAGUGGAUUCUGAAUAUCCUGCUUAUCUUGAAGAGAGAAGCUUCAUAAGGAAUAAGCAAGUUAAAUAGAGAAAACACUGAUCGAUAAUAGGCAUUUUAGUGGUCUUUUUAAUGUUUUCUGCUGUGAAACAUUUCAAGAUUUAUUGAUUUUUUUUCCCCCAUUUUCCCCAUCACAUUCACACGCACGCUCACACUUUUUAUUUGCCAUAAUGAACCGUCCAGCCCCUGUGGAGAUCUCCUAUGAAAAC